rnacentral:tRNA from 1 species
AGCGAUGUGGUUCAGUGGUAGAGCACUUGCCUGCCAUGUGUGAGACCAUGGGUUCCAUCCCUGUCACUGUCA